rnacentral:rRNA from 1 species
GGGUUGUGAGGUUAAGCGACUAAGCGUACACGGUGGAUGCCCUGGCAGUCAGAGGCGAUGAAGGACGUGCUAAUCUGCGAAAAGCGCCGGCGAGGUGAUAUGAACCUUUGACCCGUCGAUGUCCGAAUGGGGAAACCCAGUGUGUUCCGACACACUAUCGUUAACUGAAUACAUAGGUUAACGAGGCGAACCGGGGGAACUGAAACAUCUAAGU